UACGUAGGGCGCAAGCGUUGUCCGGAUUUAUUGGGCGUAAAGAGCUCGUAGGCGGUCUGUCGCGUCGGCUGUGAAAUCCCGAGGCUCAACCUCGGGUCUGCAGUCGAUACGGGCAAACUAGAGUAUUGCAGGGGAGACUGGAAAUUCCUGGUGUAGCGGUGAAAUGCGCAGAUAUCAGGAGGAACACCGGUGGCGAAGGCGGGUCUCUGGGCAAUAACUGACGCUGAGGAGCGAAAGCGUGGGGGAGCGAACAGG
rnacentral:rRNA from 1 species